rnacentral:rRNA from 13 species
CAGACCUCUAAUCGGAAAAGACUACCCGCUGAGUUUAAGCA